GAGGCAAAAAUAAGGAAACUUGAGGUUCUUUUCUUCCUGCAUCUGCAUGUUUCAUCACACAUUUUUAAGUAACUCAUGGGACAUUUUCAUCUUAUAAUUACUUAUUAAGUACCUCUCUAACCAUAUUUACAAGUAUUUCCUUUCUUUUUAUUUGUCAAUUUUACCAUGCUUUUAACACUAGUGCUGGAAUUUAAGGAAGUGAUGGCCUUAGCCAAG
rnacentral:misc_RNA from 1 species